CCAAUAAGUGUGGAGAGCUAAGUCGAUAGGCGUCGCUUUGUUAAGUGGCUUCGCCUCCAUUUUCACGCCCAGCUCGUUGGUGCCCAUUAUCAUAGAUGCAUGUGUAUGUAUGGAAUGGUGUUCUCUGUCACCUUCCUCGCCGUCAAAGCUGUGGUAAGUGAAGGUAACGUGACUGUCUGGUUUGUAGCUUCGGACUGUCCAAAUCACAUCACUGAACCCCUUUUUCCCACCUUGUAUUUAAAUUUAGAAUCCCCCAUUAACAAAAUAUGAAACCGAUA